rfam:Asian citrus Psyllid, Diaphorina citri - Florida Strain, whole genome shotgun sequence.
GUCAGGGGCGAAAGCACGUUCAAAUGCACCAUUUCCCGAUAGAUUUCUGAAGUAAAGCAACGUUGCGCGUUGUUGGUUUUUGGAUGGGUGACCCUCUGGGCAACCGCGUACUGCUGGCU